GACCUGCGGAAGGAUCAUUACCGAGAGCCCCCUCCCGUGCCGCAAGGUCGGGCGGCGGCCAUUCUCACACCCUUUUUUAUGCGCACCUUUUGUUCUUCCUCGGCGGGGCGACCCGCCGACGGAACACAUCCAACCCUUUUGCAUGCAGUAUUACUUGUUCUGAUACCCUAAAUCGUUACAACUUUCAACAAUGGAUCUCUUGGCUCUGGCAUCGAUGAAGAACGCAGCGAAAUGCGAUAAGUAGUGUGAAUUGCAGAAUUCAGUGAAUCAUCGAAUCUUUGAACGCACAUUGCGCCCCUUGGUAUUCCAUGGGGCAUGCCUGUUCGAGCGUCAUCUACACCCUCAAGCACUGCUUGGUGAUGGGCGUCUGUCCCGCCUUCGCGCGCGGACUCGCCCCAAAGGCAUUGGCAGCGGUCCCGAUCGCCCUCUCGCGCAGCACAUUUGCGCUUCUCGAGGCGGCGGGUUCGCGUCCACGAAGCCCUUUUUACCACGUUUGACCUCGGAUCAGGUAGGGAUACCCGCUGAACUUAAGCAUAUCAAUAAGCGGAGGAAAAGAAACCAACAGGGAUUGCCCUAGUAACGGCGAGUGAAGCGGCAACAGCUCAAAUUUGAAAUCUGGCCCUCUUUGGGGGUCCGAGUUGUAAUUUGCAGAGGGUGCUUUGGCAUUGGCGGCGGUCUAAGUUCCUUGGAACAGGACAUCGCAGAGGGUGAGAAUCCCGUACGUGGGCGCCUGCCUUUGCCGUGUAAAGCCCCUUCGACGAGUCGA
rnacentral:rRNA from 1 species